CUCAUCCCCAUAAACAUUCCUCAGCUGAAACAGGAACUACAGGGCAGUGCUAGCCUAUGUAUUAUGAGACCGGAAUAUUUCUGCUUCCAUGUGCAGAUGGAGCACAGAUCACUAGUGUGCUGACAAGCUGAACUCCAAACAAAGAGAUAAGCUACAUAUGUACUGGCAGGAUUCACUGUCAGUGGGAGCACUGAAUGAAAAGCCUGUUCUCCAAAUCAGUCCCCCAUUUAUCUACUAAAUCUUUCCAUUUCAUCCAAUCUAAAGAACCAUCGAAACAUCAUGAAAAAUUAAGAAGAAAGCAAGCAUUUGGAAGUUGUAUUAAUUUAAUGUUGUCUCGGGGACUAGGCAGCCAGCUGAAGUUUCAAUCAGAAGAUCUCCAAGUGCUCAUGACUAAGCCUGCAAGCGCGUCUGCAGCGGAGCGCUGUGUACGGAAUUGGAACGGGAGCACUCGGCUGUUUGGUGUCACUUGAGACCUGGAUCUCAUCUGUGUGGGAACGAGGCGGUGGCUGUGGCAGAGAGACAGGCUGUGUGCUGGAAAACAAAGAGAGAAUUCUGGCUGGCUGGGCUGGUGUGAAGAAUCGCUGCCGUGGGGCUGAGCUGAAGGUGUGCGAGGAGAAGGAAACAGGAGCAGAGCGAGAAGCCAGCUGUGAACAGCUCCGCUCGCUUCUGCUACUGAGCGAGCUCUUCUAGAAAAUGUCAAAGAACAUCCUCAUCAUCUAAAGCCAUUUUUAAAAUGAUUGCUAAUAUGGCCCAAUUAUGUUUUCUUUCCCUGCACCCAUGUGUUUAAAUGUGAAAGAAAAUGGUGAGAGUGACUGCUAAAGAUGCUUGAUAGUGCAUAUUUGCUUGGAAGUAUAUUUUCAUAUCAAGCAAAUGUCAGUGCAAACACCUGCAAUCUGCAUUGCUUGUAACUGUAAGAAACAAAUGUAAGUUGGUUCACCACCACCACAACUCUGAAUAAAGCUCCUGCUGCUCUGUGGCUGGUACUAUGU
rnacentral:lncRNA from 1 species